GACGAACGCUGGCGGCGUGCUUAACACAUGCAAGUCGAACGGAAAGGCCCUGCUUUUGUGGGGUGCUCGAGUGGCGAACGGGUGAGUAACACGUGAGUAACCUGCCCUUGACUUUGGGAUAACUUCAGGAAACUGGGGCUAAUACCGGAUAGGAGCUCCUGCUGCAUGGGGGGGGUUGGAAAGUGUCGGCGGUGGGGGAUGGACUAGCGGCUUAUCAGCUUGUUGGUGGGGUAGUGGCUUACCAAGGCUUUGACGGGUAGCCGGCCUGAGAGGGUGACCGGCCACCUUGGGCCUGCGAUACGGCCCAGACUCCUACGGUAGGCAGCAGUGGGGAAUAUUGCACAAUGGGCGGAAGCCUGAUGCAGCAACGCCGCGUGCGGGAUGCCGGCUUUCGGGUGGUAAACCGCUUUCGCCUGUGACGAAGCGUGAGUGACGGUAAUGGGUAAAGAAGCACCGGCUAACUACGUG
rnacentral:rRNA from 1 species